rnacentral:lncRNA from 1 species
ACAGCCCUGAGAGGUGAGGUAUGUCCAGGGUUAUCUUUUAUAUAGACAGGAACACAUGGAGAGGGUAGCCCUGCCCAAUGUUCCCUGGCUGGGAUUCCCACACUGACCACGGGGUGCCACAGGGAAGCUCUGGGCACUAGCCCACUGGUGGGACCUGGAGGUUAUUCCAGUGGAGCUGGAGCUAGAUGUCAUGAGCUUACAUGGUGGCUCAGUCACCAGAAAGGAAGAAACUGCUUGGGAAGAGGGAAUUGUCUGAGGGUUGAUGGGUUAAGUCCCAGGCCUGAGGACUCCAUCAUGUGUGUGGGGACAGCAGGAAACUGGGAAGGAACAGAGAGACUGUGGUAGUCAGGCAGAAGCAGAUAGAAGUUAAAACAGAAAACGGUGAGAGACAACAUGGGACCCAGGUGUUGUCAUGUGCCAGGCACCUGUACUAUUCUCAGACUUGGCGGGCAGGGGCCCUGUCAUGAGGACCCUCCAUUCUAGACUCAGCUCCUACCUAUGGGAGUGCUUUGUGACCCUUUGUGCUGAGCUCAAGUAGACCAGAUGCCUCCAGGAGCUACAGGACUGUAGUGAUGGGUCAUCCCUCUGCCCAUCUAGUCCCCCACUGUCCAGCACAACAGUACACACCAGAGUUGAGUUCUGUACUCUGCUGGUGACUCCAGUUGUUUCUGUAGACAGCCCACACGCUGAGGACAGCUGGGCUCAUCCAGCUUCUCUACAUUCUCACCCUCUCCCACAGCCCUGGGAAGCAUGGGUAUCAUCACCGUAUUGUGCUGGGAGCCAUUAGCCAAGUAAGUAUGACAAUUUCCUUGCCAGCGUACCCCAUGUUGCAGUGACAUUGAAUGUACUUAACCUUGCUCAAGGACCAAGGCAGAUUAGGGUGUUCCCGGUUUUAAGAUAAUCUUGUUUAGGGCGUUCCCAGUUUAGGUUCCAGGUUUAAGGUUUAAGAUUAUUCCUGCUGGGAAUAGGGCGUAUCC